AGGGGUGUAGCCAAGCGGUAAGGCAACGGGUUUUGAUCCCGUCAUGCGUAGGUUCGAAUCCUGCCACCCCUGCCA
rnacentral:tRNA from 2 species